rnacentral:rRNA from 1 species
UACAGAGGUCUCAAGCGUUGUUCGGAUUCAUUGGGCGUAAAGGGUGCGUAGGCGGCGCGGUAAGUCGGGUGUGAAAUCUCGGGGCUUAACUCCGAAACUGCAUUCGAUACUGCCGUGCUUGAGGACUGGAGAGGAGACUGGGAAUUUGACGGUGUAGCGGUGAAAUGCGUAGAUAUCGUAAGGAAGACCAGUGGCGAAGGCGGGAUCGUCUGGACAGUUCCUGACGCUGAGGCACGAAGGCCAGGGGAGCAAACGGGGAUU